CAGGAAGAGGGAGCAUAGGCACCGCAUAUUCCUGAGCUUGCCAAAACAUGCUUCCAGAGAUGUGCUGCUGAAGAACAGGGGAGUCUUGCAGACACUGCGCCAUCUUCUCAUGCAUUAAUUUAAUCAGCUUUGGAAAGAACCAAGGCCUUAUCGUAUUCAAGUAGGAAAAACCUAAAAAUGCUGCUUCCAUCAUACCUAUGAAGAAAGUGAAUAAGCUUCCUGUUACUACUGGAAAUCAACAUUUAUUUCCAACAUCUGUCUCCUAUCAACUUCUCUGGAAUAAAGCUACUAUAUGCCUUACAGUGGCCUGUGUAGA
ensembl:lncRNA